GACGUAGGGCGCGAGCGUUGUCCGGAUUUAUUGGGCGUAAAGAGCUCGUAGGCGGCUUGUCGCGUCGUCCGUGAAAAACCUGGCAGCAUCAACGUGCAGGCGUUGCGGUCGAGUACGGGCAGGCUAGAGUUCGGUAGGGGAGGACUUGGAAUUCCUGGUGUAGCGGUGAAAUGCGCAGAUAUCAGGAGGAACACCGGUGGCGAAGGCGGGUCUCUGGGCCGAUACUGACGCUGAGGAGCGAAAGCAUGGGUAGCGAACAGG
rnacentral:rRNA from 1 species